GACGAACGCUGGCGGCGUGCCUAAUACAUGCAAGUAGAACGCACAGUUUAUACCGUAGCUUGCUACACCAUAGACUGUGAGUUGCGAACGGGUGAGUAACGCGUAGGUAACCUGACUGGUAGCGGGGGAUAACUAUUGGAAACGAUAGCUAAUACCGCAUAAUAUUGAUUAUUGCAUGAUAAUUAAUUGAAAGGUGCAAUUGCACCACUACCAGAUGGACCUGCGUUGUAUUAGCUAGUAGGUGAGGUAACGGCUCACCUAGGCGACGAUACAUAGCCGACCUGAGAGGGUGAUCGGCCACACUGGGACUGAGACACGGCCCAGACUCCUACGGGAGGCAGCAGUAGGGAAUCUUCGGCAAUGGACGAAAGUCUGACCGAGCAACGCCGCGUGAGUGAAGAAGGUUUUCGGAUCGUAAAGCUCUGUUGUAAGAGAAGAACGGGUGUGAGAGUGGAAAGUUCACACUGUGACGGUAUCUUACCAGAAAGGGACGGCUAACUACGUG
rnacentral:rRNA from 1 species